CACGUAGGGCGCAAGCGUAUCCGGAAUUAUUGGGCGUAAAGAGCUCGUAGGCGGUUUGUUGCGUCGGCUGUGAAAUCCCGAGGCUCAACCUCGGGUCUGCAGUCGAUACGAGCAAACUAGAGUGUUGCAGGGGAGACUGGAAUUCCUGGUGUAGCGGUGAAAUGCGCAGAUAUCAGGAGGAACACCGGUGGCGAAGGCGGGUCUCUGGGCAACAACUGACGCUGAGGAGCGAAAGCGUGGGGAGCGAACAGG
rnacentral:rRNA from 1 species